UACAGAGGGCUCAAGCGUUGUUCGGAGUCAUUGGGCGUAAAGGGUGCGUAGGCGGCUCGGUAAGUCGGGUGUGAAAUUUCGAGGCUCAACCUCGAAACGCCACCCGAUACUGCUGUGGCUAGAGUCCGGUAGGGGAGCGUGGAAUUCCUGGUGUAGCGGUGAAAUGCGCAGAUAUCAGGAGGAACACCAGCGGCGAAGGCGGCGCUCUGGGCCGGUACUGACGCUGAGGAGCGAAAGCGUGGGGAUCAAACAGG
rnacentral:rRNA from 1 species